UCUAGUUUUAUUACAGGAGCUUGUCACCCCUCAGCAUGGACAACCCUGUAAUGAAACAGAAUCCUUUGUUUGCUUGGGUCCCUGGGCCCCACUGGGCUGCCUGAAAUGCUUUUUCCUGCAGUAAGCUCUGAGGUUGUUCCAUUUCAUCCCAUUUCCUCGGGGAGUUUUUCCUGCAUAAAAAGGCUGUAGCUCUUCUCCCUGUCAGGUCCUUAAGAUAUAUUGUAAUCGUAUUUCAUGGGGAUGUAAAGAGGCUGGCAGCACUACAUUCAGAUGGAGCCAUUCAUCACAAGAGGUUAGCAAGGAUGAAUAUAAUUUAGUAACAUGACAAAAUUUGUAUUCUGUUUUUGCUGGAACCCCAAAGCUGUGGGCAAGAACACUUGAGGACUGGGAUCCAGGCCUUGUCACUAUUGCGUCACAGUGGGCACAGUCCUCGGGGCACUGCUGAAGAGAAGGACUGACACACAACGCGAGUCUGACAGUUCUGGGAGUUGCCAUUGCUUUAUGAAACUUCUGCAUCUAUUUUAUUUUCUGUUGGUCAAGAAAGCUCUGAGUGGAGACCAGAUGCCAGCUGGAAGCAUUUUCUGCAUGGGGCAAGUCAUGACCUCACGCCAUGCAGCCAUCACUGCACACUGCUGCUAUGACAGCUUGCAACGUCUGCCCACAGCAGAUAACAACGGUGGAGCACGCACUGUCACACAGCACAUGGGGUGUGCUGCAACCAGCAGUUCACAGGAGCCUUGCACUGGGGAGUCCUGCUGACACCGGACAGUGGCCAACAGUUCUGAGAGAAAUGGUCCCGUGUGGGAGAGUACCUUAUGAUUCCUUCAAAGAUGCUCAAACUUUAACAGUUCUUCUCAGACACCAGAUAUUUUUCCACAUCCAGGAGAAUGGAGAUUCCUUGAGGAUAUGUGAAAGUGACAUGUGAAAGAAGGUGACACGUUUUCAUCUUGCAGGUUCUUUAGCACAUAAUAAAAGCUGGAGUAAAUUCAACUGUUUUGGGGGGAUUGUAUAAAGGCUCAUCUGAUUCAGAAUUCCUAUGCAAAUGUUAACAGGUAAAAUGACAUAAGGACAUUUUAAAAACAGGACAUCUUCCUCACUCCAUCUGCACUUCUUUCAUGUUUUUCUCUAAAUUUCUUUUUGGAUUAAACUUCCCAAUCACAUUUUCAUUGCACAUUAUAUAUGGAAAAAUCUGGAAACUGGAGGGUUGUUUGAUUUCAUUGUACACAUACGGGCUAUGCUGAAGUCACCUUGAGUGACUGUAUUCUUUCUGAAGGCCAUAGAAACUGCAAAGGGCAGUACGUUUCUUCAACUUAUGAAAGGCUACAGCUGUCUAUUUAAUUCGACUGACAUGGUAUUUUUUUUGGAGUCAGCUGAGGUAAGAAGCUGUGAGCUGCCUGCCAUGCCAUGGCUUCAAGGUACUGGAAUCUCCACACCCACACGACAGGCUAAGAACUUUAAAGGCUGCAUAUGUUAGAAAGGAACAUUGAAAACUGUGCAGUGGAGACCUUAUAUUUAAUGCCAACAAAGCAUAAUUCUAUUUAAGAAUUGGAAUGUCUAAUUUAUGUAGAUAUUUCUCUGUUCACUACCUGCUGAGAUUCGCAAACAGCUUGGUUGUACCUCUGUUAGCAGGUGUGUGCUGGAAAAGACCUGGCUUAGAUUUUGCUUGUUGCAUAACGUCACCACUACAGUAAUGUGGAGUUCAAAGGAGGUUUCAGGCAAUGUCAGAUGUCUCAGUGUUACAGAAAACAAUUCACUCUUGGUAUAUGUGCAGAAUAUGUUUACUCUAUGUUCUGGAUUAAGCUUUUGGACCAAAACUGCUGCUGUCAAAUUGCUGUGUGUCACUUGGCAGCUCGUGUGGGGCUGAGGACUGGCAUUUUGGUCAGAAGCACUUUCCAGAUCAGACAUGUCUCCAUUGCACAGGGGCUUAAGAGCCCUCCUAUAAGCAUCACACCAAAAUGGCUUGUGUCCUUCUAAUACACACCAUAAAAUUCAUCCACCUGCUGCACAUGAGUCUUAUCAUAGUCUCAAGUGGCAUAUGGUCUAGAAGUUAAGAUGGAGUCUCUAUGGAAGAAGUAACACAGAAUCAUAAAAUUGCUCAGUCCAACCACAAGCUAACCAUACUAUCCUAACUAACAAUCCUCCACUAAAUCAUGUCCCUGAGCACCACAUCCAAAUGGUUUUUAAACACAUCCAUGGAUAGUGACUCAACCACCUCCCAGGGAGCCUAUUCCAGUGCUUAACAAUCCUUUCUGUAAAGGCAACAUAUUCAGAACAAAAAGUGAGACUGUAACAUUUCACAUGAUUAAGGUGAGAAAGUGGUUGAAACUUUCUUCUAACAAAUCCUGAAAAGAAAGAAGAAAAAACUACUUUGUGAUGUGAUUAUGUGAUCAUCUGUGGCACUACUUGACUGUAGUGACAAUGAAAAUAUCAGGGUUAGAGAUCCUAAGGGCAAAUAGGACAGUGAAGCUCCUGGGUUUUAGCAAACCCAGAGCAAACUUUAGCUUUAUCAACUAUCAGGUGGGAUCCCAUGAGAAAUAGUUCAGAAGUAGCUCAGGAAAUCCGCCAAAUAGAAGUGCAAUACACAGUAUGUCAAGUAGCUCUACCAGGAGACUGGAUAGAGUAAAUAAGAAACUUGUGACUGAGCCCUAGAAUAAUCAAACAGCAUAUAGGAGGGGGAAGCAGGAAUAGACAACAAAUGAGGAAUUUAGAAAUAUUGCCUAGGCACAAAGCAAUGGGGUUAGUAAAACCAUACUUCAAGUAGAGCUGAAACUUGCCAGGGAUGUGAAGCACAACAAGAAGAGCUUCUACUGUUUCACUGGUACUGGAAAACUGAACAAGAAAAACAUAGAACUGAUGCUGAAUGGGGUAGAAUAUUCAGUGAGAGUGGGCACAGAUUAAGCUGCAUUAUGUAGUGCCUCAUUUGUCUCAGCCUUCACAUACAAGGUCUUUUGGGCAUCUUGACUGAAAGGCAGAGUUCAGGGAGAAAAACUAUCAGCAAUAGAUAGUUUUCAAGUCCAUGGGAGCAGACAGGCCACAUUCAGUAGUGAUGAAAGAACUUGACAACAGUGCAGUGAAGCCACUAUGUCAUUUUUGAAAUGUUGAGUAGAUUGAGGAAGAUCUCAAAUAAGUAAAGAGGUAAAUGUUUCACCCAGUUUCAAAAAAGUCAUGACCAGCUUUGCUACAAGUCAUGGAUCAAGGCUUCUUGAAGCACAUUUCUGGAUACAUUAAGGAGACAGUGAUUUGGAGCAGCCAGCAUGGAUUUUAUAAAGGGAAAAUCAUGCCUAAUCAGUCUUCUAUGAUAAAAUGACUGGAUUUGUGGUGAGGGGAGAGUAGUGGAUGCAACUCACUUUCACUGUAGCAAGAUUUUUGAUAUGCUGUCAACUUCAUACCGAACUGACAGGUAAGCAGAGGGAAACAGUCAGUAUACUCAUGGGCAUGGCAGCCAUUCAGAGGGACCUGAGCAGCCUGGAGGGAUGGACCAGUGGGAAUCUUCUAGAAUUCCACAAGGACACACGUAAAGACGUGUAUCUGCAACAGAAGAACCCCCUGCAAUUAUACAGGAUGGACACAGAUUAGAUGGAGAGCAACUUUGCUGAAAAAAAGUCUGAAAGUCUUGACAGACAGCAAGCUGAAUAUAACCAAAUGUGUGGCCUAGCAGCAAAGGCUGAUAGCCUGGGGUGUAUGAAUAGGAGUAGUGCAAGUAGAUUGAGCCAAGUGAUCAUCUCCAUUGGCAUUCAUUGGAUUGCAUCUGAAAGACUGCAUUUGCUGUCAGACACAAGAGAGAUGAUGAUCAACUGGAGUAAGAUCAGUGGAGGUUCAGAAAGGGGCUGCAGCCGAUGCCCCAUGAAGAGGUGCUGAGCUUCUGUAGCUUGUAUAAAAAAAGACCAAGUGAUUCAUGACAGAAGACCAAAAGAUCAUUGGCUUAAACAGAAACAAGAGAACUUCAGACUGUAUAUUUAACCAGGAAAAUAUUCAAGCAAUAGAAUAGCAUCCAAAGAAAUGGUAGAGUUUCCAUCUUUGGGUGAUUUCAACACUCAACUGGAUGAACAACAUGGUCUGAUCUCAGAGGUCACUCUGAGACCUCCUAAUGUCUCUUUCAGCCUGAAUUAUUCUAGAAUUUUACACAUUUCAUGGAGUUCUCAUUGCUAUCAGAGCUUGUUUCUGUGCCCCAUUCUCAGUGGGCCUGGAUGUGACACACCUUGGACUCCGUGUUCAAGUAGGGACUGGGAGAGGAAGUUCUAAUGGCUUUUAAUGGAAGACAUUUCUAAUGUAAACCAGCUUCAGGUUGUCUUACAGUUGUAUAUGUAUCCUGGAGCUGGUAUAUGUGAAAAAGUAAGAAGCCCUGUUAUUACCAGAAAGUACCUCUUUCUUCCAACCUUUCCUCCUUCUUCUACUGUACCACUGGAAAAUGGUUCUGCUGAUGACUGCUUGUGGUGGGAAUACUAGAGGGGCCUGACCACAGGUAGACAUUUUCCAAAGUAAGUGGAAGAUGGAGAAGGGAACACUGUAGUCCAGGAAGUUCUGGGGAAGGAAAGGGGAGGGAGACAAAGAGCUGCACUGAUCUUUCCCAUGUAAGGUGAAUAAAUGUAGCUGAAUAAACACUUUGACAGUAAUGUCUUGACAUCAGAUCAAUGUCAGGAAAUGAAAGAGGAUGCUGUUCAGGGAAUCUUUAUCUCUUAAUAUUGCAAUCACAGUGUACAUAACCAACACAACUGUUGCAACAUGCUUUAAACCAGAGUAACUAAUGUGAUGUAACUAACUUCUGUGCAGAAGUCCUCUCCAGCUGAUGUCAAACAGGGGAAACUCCCAGUUAACAAACCCGGACAUUCUACUGUCUGUAGGUGGUCUACAGAAGCAAAAUGACUGGGACAGCUUUAAAAAUGCUUGCAUUCAUAGUCCAUUCCCCUCAUGCCCCCUUCUCCCUUCUCUUAGGAUUAAAGCAAGAGCACAAAGCAAAGCAAUGUUAGGUUUCUGGGUACUCAAGAACCAUAGCACAAUGACUGAAGAUGAUGGUGAGAAAGGAAGGGAAAAGUUUCCCAAUUCCACUGAGUGGACUUCACAAAGAUCACUGUUCUGGAUAUUGGAUGGGAAUGAUAAGCCAGUGCUUCAGGUUUUCUUUACCAUAACAGACAUUAUAUGAAGGCCAAACUACAAGAAGCAUCAUGAUGAACUCUCAGUCAAAGCUUCCAUCUUGAUCAUCUUCAGCAACCAUAGACUUACUGUCCAAAAUCUUGAACCAAUGUACUGCUAGUAAGCAUCCACUUCUAUCACUACUUCUGGACAAUUGUCUUGGCAGUAAAACCUCAUCCCUUAUUCCAGCCUAGCUUGUCAUGAAGAAUAUAAUUUUUAGACUCCAUAUCUUCUUUCACUAGGAGGAUAAAGUCUUUGACAUUUCCCUUUGCUUGGGAAAAGUCUAGGAGAAAAAAACAAAAUCCUAAAUUUAAAAUGGAUAAAGAUAAGGAAUAGCCAAGAAGGAUGAAUAGAAAAACAAGCAACUAACAAAAGCAGAAGGAAUAACAGCAAACAGAAACAAAACGUAGUGCCUUUCGCCAUGGAUCCAGGCAGCAAGCUGUUGAGUGGACGGCUUUCAUGAGCUACAUUAAAGGUCACAAAGUAGCACAAGCAAAGUGAAGUCAGGGUGAGAUACACAGUGAAAAAAGCACAAUAAAAAAUGGUUACUCUGCUACAUGACUGCAUGGAAUAGAAAAUGAGGGCUAAACAAUUAAAUGCAAGAACCUGUUCUGAACCUAGAGCCUGAGACCAAAUCUUUGCCCCUCAAAAUCUCAAUGAACAUUUAAAAAUACUUAGAAAACUAUGCUUUAGUUUUCCAAUUUGUUAAGUUAAAAUAAUAUUACGUACUUGGUAUAUUUUACAGGCUUCAUUUCGCCAGUGUUCAAAGGACUCUAAGAUCUUAAAAGGGUAGGCUGAUACUGAAGUACAAAAUGUAUUCUUUUUUACUGCCAUCUUAUUGAUCAAAAUCUCUUAUACAUUUGAAAGUACUCUCUCCCUGAAUUACAGUGGCUUUUCAAAAAUGCAUAGCAGUGCCUCAUAACUUGUGAAUAAUAACCUGAAGACCCAUAUUCCAAUUAAUAUGUAGAGACAGGAAAUUUAUUCAGAACACUGAAUUAAUAUUCUUGUUUUUAAAAAAUCUGUAAGAUUCUUUAAGAUAAUAAACCCACAAAUAAUUCAGAGUAUAUUUUUUUUCCAAAAUCUCUUAAUACUUCUGAUUUGGCUGCAUCAAGAGACAGAAAAAAUGUUAAGCUUCAGUUCUUGCAGAUGCAACCUAUUAAAGAAAUUUGUGUUGUAAGUAAAAAACUGUUUACCAAGGAAUGUGAGUGCAAUCAAAUUUCCAUUAAAAAUGUUUUCCAACACCUAACUGCAUUGAUGAUAUUAACUAACCUUACAACAAUUUCUUCAUGGUGAUAUAGUGAUGUGGACUCUUAAUUUCAUUUUAUUAUUAAAGGCUACAUGAUAAUUACAAAAUCAAUGUGUGACACUUGGGUAAAGUAAAAAUGCAGCCCUCUGAACAUAGAACAAUAGUCCAUAGAACAACCUACUUUUGCCUUUUUUUGAAUCAGAGUUCACAUCCAAUAAUCCAUUUUACUUAAACCAUAAGAGAGGAAAAUUUAAACUUAAACUUGCCCAAUUCUGUAAUCAUCACACCAGUUUCACGUAGCAGUACUGACUUCAGUAUGUUUAUGCCUCAUUUAUAUCAGUGUAACAGAGAAAGAAACAGGCUGCAAGUAUUUUAGUUUUAUUUUUCUUAGCCUUCCCUAUUCACUGCGAUAAGUUGAAUGUAAUUAAUAUGUAUGGAAGGAGUAAAAGUUUAUGUUCCAGCAGUGCCUUUAAAAAACAGAGUACCUGUACUUGCUUGAUUGCCAGUAAGUAUCAGGUAGAGCUGUAGAAGAUUAAAGCACUAACAUCCUGCUGCUUCUGUGACAACAGCUAGGAGUUGCUCAGAAAAUGUUGAGUGAACUUCAUGUUCCCUAGUUGCCUAUAAUCAAGAGCAUUAAAGCUAUGCAGGAAUUCACUACAAUUUUCUAGAUAGACCAGAUGGACAUCAGAAAUUUUAUAGAAGAUAAAAUACAACAUAAUCUUUUAUUCAUGAAUAAUUCACAGUAGUAUUCAAAGAAAUAUCGGAAUUCCUGGCUCCUUAUGAAGAAUUUAGAGACUUUAAAAUCUUUCUCAACAAGUAUACAGAAAUAUCUAUCUGGAGAAAGAUCAGUACAUUGCUUGUAUAGACUGAUUCAUCCAUCUUAAGCCCUUCUCCUGAAUCAGAAUCAUUCUUACUUACUUUAACAUAAAAUACAACAAUCAGAGGAAACAGUGACUACAGUGAGUGGUUAAAGAUAUUUACAUUUGUUUGUUGUGUUCUUCUAGAGAACUCUGCACUUGCCCACUACACUCACUGCUCUGAUGGGUGCUCCAGUCAGCUCAUUUGGCUCAUCAAGACAGUAAUCAAUUACUUUCAUGAAAAAGUUACUGCCUAUGCACAGUAAAAGUGGAAUGGCCGAUUCAAGUCCCACAUGGUAGCCAUCUUCCUCCCUUGUUAGCAUAACAUUUAAUGCUUUCACAAUCUCUGCUUUUGUGAUAACAGAAACCACUAUUUAUUGUGCUCCCAGCAGCUUUUACUGUAACCUGUGCAAGGAGGCUAGGGCAGGUCCUAUGAGCUAACAGUUCAACAGAGAGCUCUCAGAAUGCCUCCAGCUGCCAACCAGCCUUGGGUCUACUCACCAGCUGUGUGGUCACUGUCCCUCCACACUAUAUUAGCAGAGCAACUGGUUAGGAGUUUUCUGAUUUGAAUAGACAAGAGUUUCUUAUUAAAAGAAAAGUUCAAAUAAGGCCUCUUCUUGCUUACUAGCAACCUGUUUGUGAAAAAAGAGCAAGCUUGGACAUCCAGGAAUCCCAAAGAUAUGGAUGACCCAACUACUAUGUACAGAUUUUUCAUCGCACAGAAUUUUCCCACAAGGCAGACACAUUUUUUCACCAUCUCUGCUCACUUUUUUCGUGUAUCUACAAUUAUGUUAUGCCUGUACGAUAGAAAAUUACAACCAUCCUCAUGUUACAUGGAAGAAAUAGACAGCAGGCUUGCCAGCUGGUAAAGAGGACUCUAAACAAUACACCAGGGAACAGUGAUAAUAGUUUGCAAUUAAGUAAGGGAGGUCAGGUUGGUAAGUAAUGGGACAAGGUAAUAGGAGAAAGAGAGCCCUUGGGAAAGAUGAAAUAGAUAUAAAGAAGCAAUCUCAAAUGCCCAUACGCAAACAUGCAGCCAGACAAACAAACUGAAGCAACAAGACUCCACAUCUAUGACAUCGCUUGAAUCACUGAAACAUUAUGAGAUCAGUCAUACCAGCAGAAUUCUGGGAUGUUUGGAUGGCUGAAUGGAUGGACAGACAAAGGCUGUCAAAAGAAAUAUUAAAGCAUUGCCCAGGAACUCAUGGAUGAUUUCAGGAAAGCCAAAGUUGAAACUUGGUGGGGGGCAUCAGUGACAAUAAGAGCUUUUACUGCUACACUAGCAUUAACAGAAUACAGAAAUAUGGGCCUGCUGCUGAAUGGGAUUGGUAGGCACAGAUAAGGCUAAAAUACUCAAGGCUUCCUUUGCCUCAGUCAUCACCAGAAAAGUCUCUCAGGCCACUGUGUCUAUAGGCAGGAGCAAAGGAGAAGAGCCUUCCCCAUGGAAGAAGAUUGAGGCAAGUAUUUCUUGAGAAACCUUGUCUCAUCCGAUGUGAUCAGAUCCCACACACUCUGUGAGGUGAGGCUAAGAUUGCUUAGCCUGGAGAAGGCUUUAGGGAGCACCCAAUAGCAGCUUUCCAGUGCAUACAAGGACAUUGUAACAGGAAGAAAAAUCACUAGAAGGAUGAUGAAACAUUGGAACAUUGGCUGAGAGAGAUUAGGGAGCCUUGGUCCUUGGAAAAUUUUCAAGAUUUGAUGUGACAAAGCCCUGAAAACCUGGCCCAAAUUCCACAUCGACCCACUUUGAGUAGAAGACCAGGAUAGAGAUCUUCCAAGGUCCCUUCCAGCCAGGAUGGUUUUAUGAAUUACCACAGAGAGUUUAAAGUGAGUUGUCUGAUACCCAUCAGAAUGCGGAGGGAAAAGUAGUGGGUUCAGUUAUUUGCCAAGACUUCAGUUUAUCUUUUCCCUUCCUGAUGCAUGUCUUCUACAAGCACAUCAAAGUCAUACAAUGUUUUUACAAAAUACAUGUGCACUUUUGCAUCCAGGAACACUCCCUAAUUCCCAAGUCUGAAUCCAGAACCAUACCACAUCCUGACUGUAUCUAGAGCUCUCAUGUCACACUUGUGAGACUGGAAAUUUGCAGUUCUCCUUGCCCUGACCCCACCUUGCACAUCGCAAAAAACAAUCCCAGGUACGCCUCUUGGAAAGCCGAUCUGAUACAAUAGAUGCUAAACUGGACAGUCAGCAGCUUAAACACCCAUGUACCUACCACAGUGUGAAUUUAAAUCAAGAUACAAUUCCUGUAUUGCUUUCCUGAUUUAAUGGAACUCCUGAGAACUUCCCCAGAGCUAUGACUCACAGGACUCAUAUGACUAUGGGGAAGAUUACUGCAGCAAUGUUCACAUAAACAAGGACCAAUGACCAUUUCUUCUACAUACAUAUUCUCACUAUUGUCUUCUGGAUCAUUUAUUUUCCAUCUUUAAUUUCACUUCUACUUUUUUCAUUGUUCCAGGCCAGACAAUUUACCCUUACUAUCUUCUAAACAUUUCCCUUUGAGAGGAAUAUUUUUGACUCUUUAGUAUUUCAGCAACAAGAAGAACAUUAUUUAUUGAGCUACACACUCAGGUAUUUCCUUAUUCCCUCCAAUUCCUAGGGCAUUUUCAUUCUCUUUGUAAAAGAGACCUUUGGGAUUAACAACUGUAUAAUAUCUUUCAAUUAAUUGUAGUAUAUAUCUUAAAAGUCCUGUAAAUGUAAACCUUUUAAUUUGAAUCAACUUGUUCUUAUCAAAUGGAAGAUCCUUGUGACAGUAUCAGGUUUUUUUUUUUUAAUGGGUAUAAUAAAUUAGCACUAAUAAUUAUAAGGUGAGUGAUACAGAAAUAAAUGCUCUUAAUAGGAAUAUGGAUUAAUUCCCACUACUAUGAUCAGGUUAUAAAAGAGAGAAAACAGUACUAUGUAGACCAUAGAAGGAGUAAUCUGCAGAGAAAAAAAUGAUCAGAUACCAUCUGCCUACCCAGCAAAAAGAAACUACUUCUAGAAGCAGGAAAAUGCAUAUCUGAGAUAGAGAAAAUGAAUGAGAAACUGAAAACAUACAGAAGGGACUGAUUCAGCAUAGCAAAAUUAACAGUAGCUAUGGAAAGGUCCAUGUUUCAUUUGAAACUGAAGUUUGUCAUAAAGCCAAGUAUUUACCUCACUAAGUAAGGAAUUACUUAAACACACACUAGGAAUUACUCAAAACAUUUGUGGAAUGAUUAUUACUUGCUGCCCAAUCAGCUAAAGGCCUGGCUUUUUAAUUUUGUGCUAAAGAUUAUCACAUUUCAUGAGUAAGAAGUAAUGUUGCCAGAGAGCUGAUUAUUGCUUCAUCUCAGGCAAUACCUUCAGUGCUGAUUUGAGACACAGAUCCUAUCUCCAAAAUCAGCAAUCUAAAGUCUCCCUCCAGUUUCCACUCUCUUUGGGAUCUCAGGAUCUAAUCUAUAGAGAAAUAAAUAUAAAAGACACCUUGCUAAUGAUCCCAGAGGAAGGAGUAGCUGUAAACAAGUGGGGAUUUCAGGGGUGUGUUUUAAUUAUUUGGUUCAUUUCUUGAGAGCAGUGAGGAAGAAAUGAGACCAUAGGCAGGAACUGAGGUCCGGGAGCCUGGCAAACCGGGAUGGGAAGAGAUGCUGGCAAGAAAAUGCUGUGUGCAGGGGGCUGUGCUGUGAUUCAGUUCAGUUCAGCAGUUUAUCAGAUUGACAAACUCCCCACAUGUUGCCAAAGUGAAAGAGAAAAGCCAGACCCUACAGGUACUUGUUGGGUAGGUGCAAUCCAAAUAAAACAGCUCAAACUGGGAUCUCAUGUUGAUUCCCAAUGCAGUACAAGCUAUCACAUAGCACGGCUGCCACCUCUUCCUACAGGGCUCAGGCAGCUUUUCCUCCUGUUCCACUGUUCAGCAUUUCUUGUAGCUCCUCAUAAUUCUAGGUAAUGGGUUUUUUAUUGUAUAUGCAUCAAUCUGAUCUGUAUCGAUCAGAAACGGGUGCACAAACUUCAUCCCUGUCUCCUCCUGUCAUACGGUAGACUCUCAUCUCCAGUUUUCAUUUCAUGUUUCAUCACAAAGUACUAAAUUGAAAUUACAAAACAGAUGAAUCAAGUAGAAUUUGAUUUAUAAAAAGACAAAAUCCAAACAUAGCAUUCAUAGAAAGAACCAUGCAGCUGUAUAUAACAUAGCAGGUGAGUAUGUUUGACUCAAAGGCUUUCUUAGUGCCCAUCAGUUUGCUGCUGUGCAUGCUCACAGCUGCCCCAGUACCUCCGCCCAUCAGCAUCUGCACACAACAUCCCUCACUUUCAUCCAUAGAGGAUUUCUAGGCCACGCUUCACACACACUAAUGGGAUUAAGCUCUUCACAAAGCACUGCUGCAAUCUAUUCCUGCAUGGAGAGCUUUCUGCUCUCACUGCCCGCUGUAUAACUGGCAGCCCUGCAGAAUGAGGCAUCCCCAGCACGUGCCCUCCAGCACAUCCCCGACCAGUUGGCUCAGACAGCGCAGGCUGCCUGUCCGCCUGCCCCAGGUCGUCUGCUGGACAGAGAAUUUAUGAUGGAUUGGGGUUGAAAGAGAGCAGAAAAACCUGUGUCUAAUCUAUAUUGUAAAGACAGUGGGCAGAUUGCAGGGAGCCCUGUUCCUGUGCCAGUGACGGCAUUUUCCAUAAACCAGCCAGUGCAGAACUUGCAAAGCUCAGUGCCCUGUGCCAAUGCAAAUAUUGUGCAAGACCACUGUUAGAAAAAUAACUUUUUGGCAGAGAUCAUUCCUGUCUGGGACAGCAAAAAGAAAGAUUUCCAGCUCCACAAAGGAGUGCAUACACUUGUGUGCUGCUUCAUCACCUCUGCAAUUAUUCACCACACAUGCUGAUUUUAAUCCUGCUCAAGUCAGUAAAACUGCUGACACUCUAAAUUUAAGUACACAAAGUAGUUUUUGCUGGAUUUUGGCUAAUAUUCUAAAUUCAUCGCUUUUCAUUCCUUGUUAUCUUAAGAAUCAACAAAAUGCAAACUCAAACAUCAAUUUCCAUGAGAAAUUGCCUGGUUUUGAAGGUGCUGCCCUUGCCAAUUCCCAUCUCUUUAUUUUUUUCCAUCUCUGCACAGGAGAAACACAACCCAUGGCACAGCCCAGCAGCAGUUUGAAUGCACCAGCACUGAGUAGCAGAAAUGAUGCUGCAUCUGUCUGCAGGGUUUGCUCACCUCGAGCUAGGAUGACUUAGCAGAACAGCCCUGCAUCCCUGCAGCACCUCAGCUCCAGUCAUAAACAACCUUGCUGACUGCCUGAAAGAGCCUUGAUUUGUCCCACGGUCAAACCCUAAGCCUGUGGUGAGCUGUUACAGAAAUGGGCAUCACUUGGGGCUCAGCCCUGAUCCCUCUGCAAUCUAAGCAUUCACACUCCUUGGGAACAGCAGGAGCAAGAUCUUUCCCUGAUAAAUCCCCUAGUUCUCACUGAGAAAGUGUGCAAAGGAAAAAAUAACAAAUUUUUAAAAAACUUGUAGUGCACCAAAUGUGAUUUUUUUUUGACAGAAAGCUGUCUGUUCAGUACUGCUUGCCCUCUAUACCACUCUUCCAGAGAGCAACAAUUAAUUAUUCAUUCUUUUCUCCCUUUAAAGAAACAGUAGGCAAGAAGCUGAGCUUAUCGAAGUCAGCGGCAGCUCAGGGUUCUCAUGGGAGAAGCAGUGCUUGCUGCGGAUCACGCCUAACAGAGCACGCCUGAGCGUGUUAGCACAGCACCAGCUCAGGGCUGAAGUUCAUGCGAGGAGAUUGGUUGAGGUCAUCAGCUAAGGAGCCACGAGUGUAACGGCGGGACUGGAGCACAUGGCUAAGUGGCAGGGCUGGCUGCUGUGUUUUACAAAUGCACUGAUUUUUCUUGUUUUGCUUCCGGAGUUUCCCUGCAAAGCUAGCGCAAAUGCUACAGAAACUAGGCGGUCACUAAAUAUGUCUAAUCUUCCAUGUUGCCAACACAGCAACAGUGGAAAAUGGGGGGAAUCAGUGUUUUUAGGGGACUCCUGGUUUUUCUUGUUCUUGCUAAGUGUGUAGAAAGAAAACAAAGGUAGGCAUAGCCUUCACCUUUCUAGAAUGAGCAUGGAGACCCAGACCAUUAGUAAGGCUCUCCAAGCCUGACAGCUGGCACUUGGUCCUCAGACGUAAGUGUGGUGGCGCGGUUGAACUUCACAAAUUUUGGUAACGCAAUGGUGCUGUGGAUAUUGUUAACUAUGUGUUUUUACCAGGACACACAACUGUACAUCUAACUCCCUUUGAAAAUCAUCCUUUCAAAUAUACAAUAGAAAAGCAAUCUGUUUUGUUUGAGGUCUCUUAUUCCUCCACCCACGCAAAGCUCACUGGACACUGGACACUGGAGUCACUGUUAUUAUAGGAGUGCAGAGGCUCUGGAUUGAAUCAGUCCUCGGCAACUUAGGGGAUAAACAAACACAGAACUGAAGUGGUCUCAGCUCCAGAGGACUCACUUUCUAUUGUUUUACUCCAGAGCAAUGAGAAGUGAUUAAAUUACAAACUUCAUUCUAGAAAAAUGGCUGUAAAAUCUUCAUGCUAUGCCAUAACAUCAAAAAUUCUCAGCCAAACACUGCUGGAGAAACUAUUUAGAAGUACUUCUGUAUCCUGGAAUAUAUUUACUGGAAAUAGUUCACUCUUCUUCCUGUAAAAGCCAGAUGCAUUAAUUAACAUGAACUCUAUUUGCCCAAGCUGAGCCUCAGGGCACAGUAAUGAAGCAGAGAAAAUUUGGUUUGAGAGGCAAAGAAAACACUCUCUACUUACUCAAUUUAAAAGAAAAGAAAACCCAGCUGCUCAGAUGUCUGUGGAACUUGAUGUGUGGGCACAGGUGAUCCAAUUUAAUGUUCACAUCAGCUACUCACUUUCACUGCAUGCCACAGUCCACAGCCAUCCCUUAAUCGGCCGUGGAGGGUUAUUUCAGUUGCACACUGUGCCAUGGACUCAGCUCAGAGGUUACUCACACAAAGUUUAUUGGCUCACGUGCUGCACUGCACAAACAAAGCUAAGCAGUGUUAGUUCAGAUCUAGAAGCAGUUUACUCAUUUUUAUGUUAUCUGGAACAUAAUAAUAUAGAAUAAACUCUACUGACCCAAGCUAGUGCUGUUCACUGUACAUCUGGACCUCAGGAAGACUCAGAAGUGUGGCACAGGCACCUUUACUCAUGGAACCCCAUUAAACCCAGCAAGCUUCUGCUCAGGAAGGUCUGUCCUGAUCCAAGCUGGUUCUAGGGAGAUGCACUCAAAUAUCCAUGCACAACACUUAAUUCAUGAAAAAUAUUGAGCAAUGGUGAAACGAAAAGCAGAGAAACCUGAGUGGCUCUUGAUGGAGAGAGCCUCAGGUCUCAGCCAAAGCAGAGGAACUGUCAUGGAUCCACAGCAACUAUGCAGAAGCAGUCAAGUAUCUCAGUACUUUAGAAGCUUCAAAGGAUCCUGUGGCAUUUGUCCACCUGUGUGACAGCAACUUCAAGUUAACUCAGCUUCAUGUUAUUCUGAACAGGAAAGUGAUUGAUUGAACUUCUUUUACUCUUUGAAGAGCGAGCAAAAGCCUCAGCAUUGCUUAUCAUUUUUUAUUUCUUGACGUACAUUGUAUGAGUUAAAUAAAACCAUAAUCAUAACCUGAACUGAAAUUCGCUUCUUCCAAAAACCCAGGCAAGAGGUCUUGCAGCAUAUCUGGAAGGCUAGGAAUCUACCCCCAGGAGAAAUACGUGCAUCUCCUUCCAGAGAUAAGACCCAAUGAUGAGAUAGAGCUCUUAGGAAAGUAUAAAGAAAAACUGGCUUGCUGUAAUACACACUUUGAACCACAAAAUCUAAUAAGAUCUUGAAGGACAGCUAUCCUGAGAUGAAAUUCUUGCUAACCCAGGUCUUGCAGACACACAAACAUCUCUUGCUAAGCUGGAAUUUAGGAAAGAGCUUCUACACCAUGAACUGAACAGCAACU